UACGUAGGGUGCAAGCGUUAAUCGGAAUUACUGGGCGUAAAGCGCGCGUAGGCGGGUCUUUAAGUCAGGGGUGAAAUCCUGGAGCUCAACUCCAGAACUGCCUUUGAUACUGAGGAUCUUGAGUUCGGGAGAGGUGAGUGGAACUGCGAGUGUAGAGGUGAAAUUCGUAGAUAUUCGCAAGAACACCAGUGGCGAAGGCGGCUCACUGGCCCGAUACUGACGCUAAGGCACGAAAGCGUGGGGAGCAAACAGGG
rnacentral:rRNA from 1 species